UACGGAGGGGGCUAGCGUUGUUCGGAAUUACUGGGCGUAAAGCGCACGUAGGCGGCUUUGUAAGUUAGAGGUGAAAGCCCAGGGCUCAACCCCGGAACUGCCUUUAAGACUGCAUCGCUUGAAUCCGGGAGAGGUGAGUGGAAUUCCGAGUGUAGAGGUGAAAUUCGUAGAUAUUCGGAAGAACACCAGCGGCGAAGGCGGCUCACUGGCCCGAUACUGACGCUGAGGCACGAAAGCGUGGGGAGCAAACAGG
rnacentral:rRNA from 1 species